CACUGUGGCCAGCAUGGUUAGUUCGUCAGUUCUACUUCUGGCGCCGAAGUAGAACUGACGAACUAACCAUACUGGCCACCAUC
rnacentral:misc_RNA from 1 species